rnacentral:rRNA from 1 species
AUUGAACGCUGGCGGCAUGCUUUACACAUGCAAGUCGAACGGCAGCGCGGGGCAACCUGGCGGCGAGUGGCGAACGGGUGAGUAAUACAUCGGAACGUACCCAGAAGUGGGGGAUAACGCAGCGAAAGUUACGCUAAUACCGCAUACGACCUAAGGGUGAAAGUGGGGGACCGCAAGGCCUCAUGCUUUUGGAGCGGCCGAUGUCUGAUUAGCUAGUUGGUGAGGUAAAGGCUCACCAAGGCGACGAUCAGUAGCUGGUCUGAGAGGACGACCAGCCACACUGGGACUGAGACACGGCCCAGACUCCUACGGGAGGCAGCAGUGGGGGAAUUUUGGACAAUGGGGGCAACCCUGAUCCAGCAAUGCCGCCUGAGUGAAGAAGGCCUCGG